AAAAAAUGUAUCUAUAACUUCCCCAAGAACAUCAGCUCCUCUGAUCCUGGGACUUACUACUGUGCUGUGGCUACAUGUGGAGAAAUCUUAUUAGGAAAUGUAAUCAGAAAGGAUGGAGGUCAAACAUUAUGUUACAAAAAUACGAUUGUGCUGAUCACAUUAAUCAUUUUCGCCGUUUCUGUUAUCGUACAUAUCAUUUUGAUCUUUUAUCGAACUCAAGUCUUGCCAUGUCAAAUAGUUAAAGAAAGCCCCUCAGUAGCAAAACGCAACAACUUGAACAACCAAAGAGAUGAAAUUCCUGAUGAUGGACAGGAUCUGAUCUACUCUGCAUUACACUUUUCUGGAGGGAAGAAACCAAGAG